AAUUGUCCACCCAUCAAAAAACAACUCUUCAGACCCGAAUCUAGGCAGACUGCCGGAGCUCCGGACGCACGAAGUCAGCAUCGGCCGUCACCGAGAUGUCGACGGUGGGCCUCAGCUCGGCGCAGACCUCGAUGGCGCCGUGGACGGGGUCCGACAUGAAGUUGCUGAUGAGGUCCUGGUUGAUGGGCGCAUCCUUGUCCACCGUCACAAACGCCUGCUGGGUCAGGAUGUAGUCGAAGCGGGGCGCCCAC
rnacentral:lncRNA from 1 species